AGGAAGCCAAAUUUGAUCCGAGAGUCUCUUUCUAAUGGCCAGUACUGGCCACACUUUCUCCUGCCACCCUCCUCAAACCUGAAGACAACACAGAGCAAGCAGUUGAUACUGACCUCAUACUACUAGUGUUCUACUGACUAAGACAUCUUCACUGAGCUAAGGAACCACCUGCAGCAGACCCAGCAAGCUAAAAGCCUCAAUCACUCCCAACCAGGCUGCGUAUCCAGGGCCCACGAUAGUCCGCCCAGGCUAUCUUCGGCUCAGCCUGGCACAUUCAAGUGCUAUACCCUGUAGGACCCAGGCAAGAAGGCACAGAAAAAUACAAAGGAUUUACCUGGUACAAGCCAGUCGACACUAUUCUGCACCAGACAGAACUGGCAUAUCCAAAGGAAAAAGAAGAAAUGUAACACAUACUUGGUUGCUGACCUCAAAAUUCUAAGUGUUGGAUGUUGCUGUGAAGAGGACUUUAAAAAACAGUAAGUGAAUAAUCAUGCUACAGAAAAUACAUGGGAUACAGGAUGGAUGGAAGGAUAAACUGUGUUAAUGUUAUGCUAAUAGACUUUCCUUGUUUAGGAUAAAUUUUUCAGUGACAAUACCAUAUACUUAAAAGAAGUAAAAACUGUGUGCUCUGGAAAACUGUUAGAUUGACUCAGGAAAUGGCUCA